rnacentral:rRNA from 1 species
GACGAACGCUGGCGGCGUGCUUAACACAUGCAAGUCGAACGGAAAGGCCCUGCUUUUGUGGGGUGCUCGAGUGGCGAACGGGUGAGUAACACGUGAGUAACCUGCCCUUGACUUUGGGAUAACUUCAGGAAACUGGGGCUAAUACCGGAUAGGAGCUCCUGCUGCAUGAUGGGGGUUGGAAAGUUUCGGCGGUUGGGGAUGGACUCGCGGCUUAUCAGCUUGUUGGUGGGGUAGUGGCUUACCAAGGCUUUGACGGGUAGCCGGCCUGAGAGGGUGACCGGCCACAUUGGGACUGAGAUACGGCCCAGACUCCUACGGGAGGCAGCAGUGGGGAAUAUUGCACAAUGGGCGGAAGCCUGAUGCAGCAACGCCGCGUGCGGGAUGACGGCCUUCGGGUUGUGAACCGCUUUCGCCUGUGACGAAGCGUGAGUGACGGUAAUGGGUAAAGAAGCACCGGCUAACUACGUG